rnacentral:rRNA from 1 species
ACGGGUGAGUAAUGCCUAGGAAUCUGCCUGGUAGUGGGGGAUAACGUUCGGAAACGGACGCUGAUACCGCAUACGUCCUACGGGAGAAAGCAGGGGACCUUCGGGCCUUGCGCUAUCAGAUGAGCCUAGGUCGGAUUACCUAGUUGGUGAGGUAAUGGCUCACCAAGGCGACCAUCCGUAACUGGUCUGAGAGGAUGAUCAGUCACACUGGAACUGAGACACGGUCCAUACUCCUACGGGAGGCAGCAAUGGGGAAUAUUGGACAAUGGGCGAAAGCCUGAUCCAGCCAUGCCGCGUGUGUGAAGAAGGUCUUCGGAUUGUAGAGCAUUUUACUUUGUGAGGAAGGGCAGUUACCUAAUACGUGAUUGUUUUGACGUUACCGACAGAAUAAGCACCGGCUAACUCUGUGCCAGCAGCCGCGGUAAUACAGAGGGUGCAAGCGUUAAUCGGAAUUACUGGGCGUAAAGCGCGCGUAGGUGGUUUGUUAAGUUGGAUGUGAAAUCCCCGGGCUCAACCUGGGAACUGCAUUCAAAACUGACUGACUAGAGUAUGGUAGAGGGUGGUGGAAUUUCCUGUGUAGCGGUG